AAUCAACGCUGGCGGCGUGCCUCAGACAUGCAAGUCGAACGAUUAAGACUUCCUUCGGGAAGUGUAUAAAGUGGCGUACGGGUGAGUAACACGUAAGUAAUCUACCUUCGAGUGGGGAAUAACAUCGGGAAACCGAUGCUAAUACCGCAUAAUGCAGCGGCAUCGCAAGAUGACAGUUGUUAAAGGAGCAAUUCGCUUGAAGAGGAGCUUGGGGCAGAUGAGGUAGUUGGUAAGGUAAUGGCUUACCAAGGCUACGAUCUGUAUCCGGUCUAAGAGGAGGGUCGGACAAACUGAAACUGAAUAACGGGUCAGACUCCUACGGGCGGCAGCAGUCGGGAAUUUUGGGGAAUGGUCGAAAGCCUGAUCCAGCAACGCCGCGUGAGGGAUGAAGGAUUUCGGUAUGUAAACCUCGAAAGAAUGGGAAGAAUAAAUGACGGUACCAUUUAUAAGCUCCGGCUAACUACGUGCCAGCCGCCGCGGUAAAAC
rnacentral:rRNA from 1 species